GAUGAACGCUGGCGGCGCGCCUAACACAUGCAAGUCGAACGAUGAAAGCACCUUCGGGUGUGUAUAAAGUGGCGAACGGCUGAGUAACACGUGGGCAACCUGCCCCUUUCAUUGGGAUAGCCACGGGAAACCGUGGAUAAUACCGAAUACUUCGAGACUUCCGCAUGGAAGACUCGAGAAAGCUUCGGCGGAGAGGGAUGGGCCCGCGGCCUGUUAGCUUGUUGGUGGGGUAACGGCCUACCAAGGCAAUGAAGGGUAGCUGGGUUGAGAGGCCGACCAGCCAGAUUGGGACUGAGACACGGCCCAGACUCCUACGGGAGGAAGCAGUGGGGAAUCUUGAACAAUGGGCGAAAGCCUGAUGCAGCGACGCCGCGUGCGGGAUGAAGGCCUUCGGGUUGUAAACCGCUUUCAGCAGGGACGAGGCGAAAGUGACGGUACCUGCAGAAGAAGCCCCGGCUAACUACGUG
rnacentral:rRNA from 1 species